GUGAGGAAUCUUCCACAAUGGGCGAAAGCCUGAUGGAGCAACGCCGCGUGGAGGAUGAAGGUCUUCGGAUUGUAAACUUCUUUUAUGAGUGAAGAAUAUGACGGUAACUCAUGAAUAAGCACCGGCUAACUACGUGCCAGCAGCCGCGGUCAUACGUAGGGUGCAAGCAUUAUCCGGAGUGACUGGGCGUAAAGAGUUGCGUAGGCGGUUAUGUAAGCGAAUAGUGAAACCUGGUGGCUCAACCACACAGACUAUUAUUCGAACUGCAUAACUCGAGAAUGGUAGAGGUAACUGGAAUUUCUUGUGUAGGAGUGAAAUCCGUAGAUAUAAGAAGGAACACCAAUGGCGUAGGCAGGUUACUGGGCCAUUUCUGACGCUAAGGCACGAAAGCGUGGGGAGCGAACCGGAUUAGAAACCCUAGUAGUCC
rnacentral:rRNA from 1 species